rnacentral:lncRNA from 1 species
GCCGACCCUUUCAUUUAUUAAGCACAUGUGGAAGCAGUUAAAAUCCCCAGACAAUAAAACGAUGGGAUAGAAAAGCAGGGCCAUAUUUUUCAUAUUGAAACUUAUAACCAAACUUUUAUACAAAACACAAACCAGAACACUUCACAACUUUUUAUUCUAAACUCUAUUCACAUCAAAAUAGAGAUCUCAAAAGAAGACAAAAACUUAGACAAAUUGGGCCGUACUCAAGGCCUCUUUCAGGAUUGUCUUCUUCUCCCAAAAAUCUUUCUCCUUAAGAUUCGCCUCCGAGUUCUCCUUCUCGGAUUCCUCCUUCUCAGCUCUUCAGCGGGGUCCUGAAAUGGUUUCCCCAAACUGGGAUGAGACUACGUCUCAGCGAGUUCUACCCCACUAAGCCCGAUUAGUAAACCAUUAUACUAAAGGUUGCCUAAACACGCACAGGGCAGAGGCCUUACCUUGACCUCAGAUCCCACCUGCAAAUUAGUACAAUUCAUAAUAGGCACCCAAACAAUCAUAUCACCGAUCGAAACAUCGAUCAAAUCGACCUAGUCGAUUAUAUUCCAACAAGACCACUCACGGUCAUUUCCAUUCAGUCAAUCAACUCACAACAUCAAAUCAAAGCAUCGACCUAGUCGAUUACAUGUCAGAUGGACCAUUCUAGGCCAAUGCUCUCGGGCGUCACGUUCACCAAGUGACUUAUCCACUAGACAAUUGCGUGCGUUCUUUAAGACGCCAUUUUCGCCAGUGACAUCCUUAGUCACCGAACUAUGCAUGCCUAUAACCAUGUACUCAAUAGACAAUUGUGUGCGUUCUUUAAGGCGCUGUUUUCGCCAGUGAUGUCCUUAAUCACCGAACCACACAUGCCUAUAACAGUGGAUUUAAUAGACAAGUGUAUGCGUUCUUUAAGGCGCCGUUUUCGCCAGUGAUAUCCCAAUCACCGAACCAUACAUGCCUAUUACAAUAUGAGUACUAGACCGAUACAUGCGUUCUUUAAGGCGCCGUUUUCGCCAGUGAUAUCCCAAUCACCGAACCACGUAGGUCCACAAUAAUGUAUGUACUAGACCGAUACGUGCGUUCUUUAAAGCGCCGUUUUCGCCAGUGAUGUCCCAAUCACCGAACCACGUAGGUCCAUACACCGUGUCUGAUUUGUUCAAUCCCAGAGUACUUCUGAUUCACUCUCGCCAUUCCACUCACUUUACAACUCAACAAAGCACUAUAAAUGCUGAAUAAACAUACUUGGCCAUUCACCAAUCAAUAAUUCAAUCUCAAUCGAUUCCAAUCAAAUUAAGGUAAAUCCCUAAAAUAUCACAAUUUAUUCAAUUCCAUACAACGUGGAGCUCAAAUAAAUAAACGGACCGUGCCACGACGAUCAGCACGAGAUUUCGGUCGUCGGCCAUCAAUUUCUUAAUUUCCGAAAAAUAAAUAAUUUAUUUAUUAAUUUCGAAAAUUAAAAAAUUAAUAUUAAAAAAAUUCAAUUUAGCUCAAAAUAAAGCCCGAUUAAGAAAACGGACUUCACCACGAUCAUCGGCAUAAUUUUCCAGUCCUGAGCCAUCUCAAUUAUUUUCGGAAAAUAAAUAAUUAUUUAAUUUAAUUCCGAAAAUUAAUAUUUAAAUACUAAAAAUUCCACUUAGGCCCGAAAAGCCUAAUUGGAGCCCACUAAGGGUCGGGAAAAAUCCCGAGAUGCUUCCAAUAAUUAGUAGACCACGUCUACUUGCUAAUUGCACAAUCAAUUUAUCUAAAUCGCAUCACAAUUGACUAAUAAUUGCUAAUUUAUUCUAAUCUAACAACCUAAACAUAAUUAAUUAAAACUAAACCAACCUUAAGCAUAAUUAGCCAACUAAUCCGGGAUUAGUGAGAUUACUCACCAAAUCGCGCGCAAAUCGGAUCAAUCCGACGGCGGCGACGCGAGGAACGAUUGUUCCCAAAGCACGGCUCGGGUUCGGGGCCCGGAAACGGCCCAAAACGAGCCCAGAAGUGCUGGAAACCCACUCGGCCGCUUGCUGGACGGGGCUGGCCGAGGCUGCUCCGGCGGCUAGGGCGGCGAGGGAAGGCCAGCGGAGGGUGAGGGGGACGCGGGGAAGGUCCGGCGGGGCUGGGCGGUGGCCGGAGGUGGCUGGACAAGGGCGGAGCAGGGCUGGGUCGCGGCUGGAUCGCGCGGAGGGAGGAGCAGCAGCGGCGACGGACGCGGGCAGAGCGCACGGCGUGCGCGGGCGGCGUUGCGAGUGCGGGCGGCGGGAUGAGCGGCGAGCGGCGGCUUCAGCGAACGGCAGCUUCUGCUCGAGCUUCCUGCUGCUGGUUCGCUCGUUCGGACGCACAGGGAGGAAGAAGAAGAAGAAGAAAGAGAGAGAGAGAGAGAGAGAAAGAGAUAGACAUUGACCGGUCAAAGAGAAAAAGAAAGAGAGAGAGA